rnacentral:rRNA from 1 species
GUACGGGGGGGGCAAGCGUUGUUCGGAAUUACUGGGCGUAAAGGGCUCGUAGGCGGCCAACUAAGUCAAGACGUGAAAUCCCCAGGCUCAACCUGGGAACUGCGUCUGAUACUGGAUGGCUUGAAUUCGGGAGAGGGAUGCAGAAUUCCAGGUGUAGCGGUGAAAUGCGUAGAGAUCCGGAGGAACACCAAUGGCGAAGGCAGCUCACUGGGACGGUAUUGACGCUGAGACGCGAAAGCGUGGGGAGCAAACAGG